CCAACUAAAAAGUGACCCAAGUAUUAAGAUCCCAACCAGCGAAUCCCGACUGUAGUGCAAUCAAAAGCUUUCAUAUUGGUCUGUUGAUUGCGCUAUUCAAAUUAAUUCUUGAAAAAAAUGUUGCUUAGGACCUUUUGAAAAGUUAAGCGAGAAUUAUGUCAAUCAAAUCAAUUAUUGAUUGUAGACUCCGUGAUCAAAAGACAGUGCGGGGCUCGCGUACACUUCGUUUUCGGAAACUAAGGCCUGGAUAUUCUACCAUUUCUCCUACAAAUACGCUAUGCAGCAGGAUGUGCUGAGUCCCAAUUGGCUAUCGCAGAAACAACGAGUAGCAGCAGCGAUUUCUCCACUACCGGUUGAGAGGAUUAUGGAGAUUCAGCUGCGCAGGAAGCAGGACAAAGUCCGAAGGAUGGAGACCAAAUUGAGACUGGCGCAAGAGGUAUACGAGCGGUAUGAACAACAAACGCAGACUACGGCCUACUACAACGAUAGUUCGAGUUCGAGUACGGCUGCCACGAUGAAAACAACAAAUGGAAGGUUUACGUGGCGCCAAGGAACGAUAUUUCAGGUGGCAUGGUGGUUUGGUCGUUUCGAGUAAUAUAGAUCCGUUGAUCAGUCAGUGGAACUGAAGGGCUUCAGAUAUCAGCGACGAGAGCUAAACAUUGCUGAACGCCGUCUACAACGUACUCUCUCAAAUUUUAUGCCUUCGACUAAUACCUAUUGCAAGAGAGUUCGUGGGGCAGCAUCAGGCGGGAUUAUGGGCGGACCAGACCAGGUGUUCACCGUAUGCCAGAUAUCGCAGAAAUGUCUUGAAUACAAUGUACCCACGCAUCAUCUAUUCAUCGACUUCAAAGCCGCUAACACACGAACGCGGAUUUCCGGAUAAGCUGAUACGGUUGAUCAAGGACGAUGGAUUGGCUGAUGUGCAUAGUUAGAGUUUCGGGAGCAUUCUCGAGUCCCUUUGAAAUGCGCAAGAUGAUGGCCUUUCGUGCCUGCUAUUCAACAACGCUUUGGAGAGAGUCAUACGAAGAUCAGGCAUUGACACGAGUGGUUUCUAUUUUCACGAAGCCCAUUCAGUUAUUUGGUUUCGCCGACGACAUUGAUGUUAUGGCAUGUAACUUUGAGAAGCCUACAUCAGACAUGAUAGGAAGAGGUUCAAGAAAAGACAAUAAGCCACCAACCACGAGUUUGUUCCGGUGGCGACGAAAAUGAGAUGGUAUAAGAAUGAUCGAGUAGAGUUCGCCGGCGUACCGAACUUUUUUUACUAUCUACAAAACGCUUAUUUGACCUAUAGUCCUCACAAGAUCUGGACGAUGCUUGGAGUUUUCGAAAAGAAAAUGUUGCAUACUAUCUACCGUGGGGUGCAGAUGGCGGGCGAUACGUGAAGGAGGAGAAUGAACCACGAGUUACAUCAGCGAGCAAGGUGGAUCGAUCAGGUGAUGUGCGAACCCUCCGUAGACUGCGUGGUUGGGGACGAGCAGCCAUGGAUCGAGUGGAGAAGAUUUUUAUGAACUGCUUGUAGUCUAAGAAAAUAAAUAAAUCUGCGACGAGAGAUCCGUUUGUGCAGGGAUCUUACAAAUGACAUCUAAAUUAUAUCCUACAGUACCCAGAGUUUGAAAAAGGAAAAAGUCGUGCAUUUAUUCUUGGAUGAAGAACAUAUUCACCCUUAUCCUCGUUUACACCAGUAAAAUUAAACGGGGAAACGAUUGGAACGAACUGCAUUCGUUCGAAAGUUUUAUUCGUCCUCAAACAAGAUAAUUGCCAAUGGAAUUAGUCCUUUGGUCAUCCUGGGCCCGAAAAAAAACCUGUGGUUCUUAACAUCGAUUUCGUAGGCUCUCGCUCUCAUCGAUGCAUACUAUAGCCAUUUAU